UACGGAGGGUGCGAGCGUUGUCCGGAAUCACUGGGCGUAAAGGGCGCGUAGGUGGCGCAGGAAGUCAACGGUGAAAGUUCGGGGCUCAACCCUGAAUCGGCCGUCGAUACUCCUGGGCUCGAGCACUGUAGAGGCAGAUGGAAUUCCGGGUGUAGCGGUGGAAUGCGUAGAGAUCCGGAAGAACACCGGGUGGCGAAGGCGGUCUGCUGGGCAGUUGC
rnacentral:rRNA from 1 species